rnacentral:rRNA from 1 species
AACGAACGCUGGCGGCAUGCCUAACACAUGCAAGUCGAACGAGACCUUCGGGUCUAGUGGCGCACGGGUGCGUAACGCGUGGGAACCUGCCCUUAGGUUCGGAAUAACUCCCCGAAAGGGGUGCUAAUACCGAAUAAUGUCUUCGGACCAAAGAUUUAUCGCCUUUGGAUGGGCCCGCGUUGGAUUAGCUAGUUGGUAGGGUAAAAGCCUACCAAGGCGACGAUCCAUAGCUGGUCUGAGAGGAUGAUCAGCCACACUGGGACUGAGACACGGCCCAGACUCCUACGGGAAGCAGCAGUGGGGAAUAUUGGACAAUGGGCGAAAGCCUGAUCCAGCAAUGCCGCGUGAGUGAUGAAGGCCUUAGGGUUGUAAAGCUCUUUUACCCGGGAUGAUAAUGACAGUACCGGGAGAAUAAGCUCCGGCUAACUCCGUG